rnacentral:lncRNA from 1 species
CAAGGACCACACUUUGAGAAACACUGCCUUACAGUAUUAUUACCAUUUGUCAGCCAACUGUCUGCUGCCACCUGAGUUGUUACUGAUUAUCCGUGGUAACAAAUUCUGUUCUGUCCCUUUUUAACUCUUUUAUUCUCCAUAAUUAGAUCUUGUAAAUGGGUUGGACAUGCUCCCCAAGUGUUUGUUCCAUCAGUACAGCAAGAUUGAAACAUUAAUGACAGAUGCAUUUUUAGCAAUGAAAUAAGUCCUUCCUUGAAGGCAAGCAGCAGAAAGCUUCCCCAGGAGGAGUUAACCUGGGUUCCAGAGUGGAGCAGCAGAGUCAUGCUUUGUGGUUGCGGAGACCCAGAGAUAUUUUCAGAGGAGUGUGAUUCCAUGUAGUAAAUUCAUUUUCUCCAGCAGAGUAAGUGCAUGAAAGCUUACUGUAAGCUAUAACUUGCAGAAAUUAUUUAAGCUACCUUGGGCCCUUGUAGUGGAACUGCAUAUCUUCUCAGUAGAGAACGGAGAAGAAAGAACACGACAGCACCUCCAAUGGGAAGAGGAUACUGGAAUAAAGGCACAGCCUUCAGUUAAUUUCACUAGGCUACUGUGUAACAGGUUGAUGUUAUCUGCAGUUGUUAGAGGGUGGAAUUAUCAACCACACUCUAACUGACUCUGCAGCUAAGAUUCAUUUGCCACUGUUUGCUGCCUGGAUGCCAGAGAUGGACUCCUAAAGCUCAUUUGCCUAAAGCAUAUUCCGUCCAUUCACCCGAUGCUUUGGGGCAGAGACAUACAGAAAUUUGGGUUCAGGAGAUUGAUGUUGUCAUCUUUGAAAUAUUUAGAGGGCACAACAAAAUACUUUUAGUUGCUUAAUGUCAGCAUCUGCCACCUGGUGCCACACUCUUGGGAAAUAAUGCCAAUAUUAUUAUUUGAGUGUGCCAAUAAUGCACACUCACAAACAGUGAGCAAAUAUGUGUAUACAUUCUUAAAUAGUAAAAUCCACACUGGUCAUAGGAGACAGGCAAUAAUUUUUGCUCUACUAACGCUAUCACAUAGGUCCUAAAACAACAUUUUAGCAGCACAUACUCUCCAAGAAAGGGUAAAAUAAUUCUUAAGUUUUAUGAAUUGCACAUAUGCAGUAAUUACAAUAGCACAAAUAUGUGUAUAUGCACAUACAUAGAAAUGUAUUGGGUAAAUACCUAUAUAUUUGUGUAACAUACAUACUAUAUAUGUAUAUGUACAUAUACAUAUAAACAUAGACAUAUACAUACAAAUAAAAUCACUAUGUCUGCACCAGGAUAGAGAACUUGACCACCUAAAUUGUUGUUCAGGUGUUUUGACCAAUGAUACAUCACUUUACAGAAUAAUUCGGCAAACUUUAAAUCAUUUUUGUCAAUUUUACUUUUUAUGAGGAGAUUCAUUUAGCAAUCAAGAUGAUCCACCCUCAGAUUCUGAGUGUUGAUGACAUGUGACAAUUGGAAUAAAGCAGUUUGGAGUGGGGAUAGCUAGGUUGCCAUCAUGAAUCUGCAUAGUUACAAGAAAAACCAGAUUAAAGUUAUGAUACUGGAAGAGUUCCCAGGUCUCUGUAGAUUUCAGAACCAUAUUGAUGAGUAACAGAGGGUUUAAAUGAUCAACUUUUCUAGCAGUGCCAGUUCUUCCACUGUACAAAUCUCUAAAUAUUUGUUCUAAGAAUCCACAUAAAAACACAAAAGCCAUCUUACAUAUAACAUUAAAUGUUCUUUGGGAGGCCGAGGCGGGCGGAUCACGAGGUCAGGAGAUUGAGACCAUCCUGGCUAACAUGGUGAAACCCCGUCUCUACUAAAAAAUACAAAAAAUUAGCCGGGCGUGGUGGUGGGCGCCUGUAGUCCCAGCUACUCAGGAGGCUGAGGCAGGAGAAUGGCGUGAACCCGGGAGGCAGAGCUUGCAGUGAGCCGAGUUCGCGCCACUGCACUCCAGCCUGGGCGACAGAGGGAGACUCCGUCUCAAAAAAAAAAAAAAAAAAAACAAAAAAAAAACAUUAAAUGUUUUGUUGAACAAAUCAGUGAAUCAAUGAUAAAUGCAUAGUUGAAUCCAUCUAUGAAUCAGCACAACUAGAAUAAGCAAGUCCAAGUCUCCAAUUCCCAGGGGUGACAAGCUAAUUUCCUAAGUGGCUUCCAAUAGUAAAUUGGGCCCUUGGGAGCCACACUAUUCUUCUAGGCCAGUAAGGGAGGAGGUUGCACAAACAGAAGGAGAAACCCUAAGAGCCCAGGAUUCCUAGGAGAAGGAAAAUACUGACUGAAGGUAUGGCUCUAGGAGCUUCCAAUUCUCAUUUCUCAAGAGAAGAUUCCUGAAAUGUGAAGAAUCUAAAGAAAAAUCUAUAUACAGUCCUACAUCUUUGUGUAUCAGAGAAAUCCAUCUAUAUCCACAGCUACUUGUUACAGAUUCUAUGUGUUGGCAGGAUUCUCAAAGAAGCAAACGUAGGGUAGAUACAGGGGCAGAUACACAUUCUAUGGUGCAUAACUUACAAAUUUUUAAAGCUAACAAUACCAUAAACAUUGCCAAGUCCAGGAAAAUAAUGUAAGAUUAACUAAUUAACUGUGUGACAGAUCUCUAUGAUACUCCUUUCCCUGAAAUUUUGGCUUCAUACUAUUAAAGUAGCAAAAUGACAAAGAUUUUAUAACACCAUUUUCUAGAGGGAAAAAAAGUAGAUCAGUUAAUCUGUCUUCUAACAUGAUUGAUCAAAAUUUGUUUUCUAAGGCUGAGGCAGGAAGAUAACUUGAGCCCAGGAGUUCAAGACCAGAAUGAGAAACAUGGGGAGACCCUAUCUCUACCAAAACAAAACAAAACAAAAACCUCAGGUGUGGUGUCAGGCACCUGGGGUCACAACUACUUGGGAGGUUGAGGUGGGAAGAUCUCUGAGGCCUGGGAAGUCGAGCCUGCAGUUAGUGGUGAUCAUGUCCUACACUGCAGCCUGGGUGACAAAGAAAGACUGUGUCUCAAAAAAAAAAAAAAAAAAAACUAAGAAAAAAUUUUAAUUUUUAAAAUUAUUAAUAGCUUAGAAAGUUUUUUUUCAGCUUCUCAAAGUUUCUCUAGAGUUUCAUGUCUUGUUGCUGUGCAAGUCAGCACAGUUGGAAUUCAGAAUAUUCCUAGUAGUCCUUCCUACAUCAGGUCAGCUUGCAACAAUUUAACUCUACAUGGAAGCAAUUGUGAACCACAUAAAUGCACCCUUCUACAUCAAUCCAAACCAGAUUCCCAAAUCAACUUCCCUUUAGCUAUGUCUCAAAAUAUUCACAACUCCUCCAAAGCCAACUGACAUGAGGGGAAGUCAGAGUGGAAAUAGCACUCUUAGUUGAUUACAGUAAAAAAAAAAUCUCAUUUUUGUAAAUUUUACACAUUGCGAGUGCCCCUCCUAGACCCUUGGAGGGGGCCCAUGAGAGUGAAGUGCCUUUCUAGUGGACAAUUGCCUCUCAUCACUCAACUGGGGUGUAGUUUUUCUGUGGCCCCUCAUAGCUAAGUUGGGAGGCCCAAUCCCUCCACUUAUUUCAAGGGAAUUUACCCAGGCCCUGUUACGAGCUGGGAUCCUGUAUCCCAUGCACCAAUCAGCAUUUCCAAAAAACAGAGAGAUUCAGAAUAUGAACUUUAGAGCUGGAAAGAAAGGACAUUAGCAACCACACAAUCCCCUUCCCACCCCACAGAUGAUUAAACUGAAAUCCAAGGAAAGUUAACUUGUGGAUAGAUUUAUUACUUAGUUGUCUUGUGAAUCAAUUAUUUGGAGUUUACUAAACCAACGUUGAGUAUUUUCCAUGUACAGGGAAUUCUCCCAUCAAAUCCUUACAAUGAGCUUAUAGGAUAAAUGAACCCCAUUUGACCUAUAAGAAAAGUGAAUCUCAGAGAAAUUAAGGGUCUGUCUGGCCUUAUUUCACACAAUUAGUAAAUUGCGUAGUUCAGGUCCACAUUCUUGCCCACUAUGCUAUGGCAUCUCCAAUUACCCAAUGGGUAUGAUCUCCUCCCACUAAAGAUAAUAUAAAUAAUAAUUAUUUUGUAUUGUUUUAUUAUUUCACAAAUUACUUUCACACUUCACAGUUUUCUUAAUUAUUACACUGCCACUUAAAAUAAAUUUUGUAGGAAUUAAUAUUAUCUACUCUAUGAAAAAACUAAGGUUUAGACACACUGGGAUACUUGUGUUACCAAUAAAUGAUGAAAGUGAGCCUAAAGUCCAUUUUCUUUCUAGUCUAGGUCCUAUGUUCUUUCCUCUCACUCCCACUGGUCAGUGAUCCAUUAGGUGAACUGUAGCUGUAAUCACCCCUCUUAUAGAAACUUCCAGUGGUUGUCAAAAGCCAUGGACUAUAAAAGUAAAAUGAGCAUAGACUGAGAUACUUUUCUUAUAGCUUUCUCCCAGUAGGUCUGUGUUUGAGGCCUUCUUCUAAAGUUAGAAGAUCCUUAAAACUCUCUUAUUGAAGAUAAUGGACUUCAGUUGCAAAGUAUUUAUUUUCUGCAUGUUACACUAAAAGUAUUUGAAGUGUAACCCUAGUAAAUAAUAAAGUUGAAAGUUGUUACUACAGGAUGUGUUUUAUUCCUUCAUUACAUCCUGUGAGAGCUUGGUGUAGUCUGUGGACUCAUCAACCCCAAAGUAGGAACACUGUGUUGCCUGUUCUUCCUUCUCAUGUCUUUCCCAUAUAAACCUGUUAAGUUAAAAUAAAGUUGGCCUGUAAUGUAUUAGGGUUGGAGACACGAGUAUAAUCUCAUGUUUAGCUUAAUUUAAAUAUAGAUGGUUACACAUAUGUAAACAUGUAUAGAUAUGUGUACAUAUAGGGUUAGUAUACACACAUAUUUCCUUGAUCUUUCAGUGCAGAGGAUCUAAAAGAAACAACACCUCAGCAGCAAUGAGCACACCUAAUGGCCAAAUUUUUACUUCCAAUACCAUUCUCCAAUAACAGGAAGCAGUGUUCCUUCAAGAAAUGGUUGAUUCUAAGAUUGGGGUGUAAAAUAUACAAGAUGAGCCUGCAGUAUAUUGCUGAGAAAGAAAGAAGGAAGGAAGGAAAGAAGGAAGGGAGGGAGGGAGGGAGGGAAGGAAGGAAGGAAAGAAGGAAGGGAGGGAGGGAGGGAAGGAAGGAAGGAAGGAAAGAAGGAAGGGAGGGAGGGAAGGAAGGAAGGAAAGAAGGAAGGGAGGGAGGGAGGGAAGGAAGGAAGGAAAAGAAAGAAAGAAGGAAAGAAAGAGAAAGAAAGAAAGGCAAGAAGGCAGGAAGGAAGGAAGAAAGGAAGAAAGGCAAGAAGGCAGGAAGGAAGAAAGGAAGAAAGGAGGGUGGGGAGGACAGACAAAAGGAAGGAAGGAAGGAAUGAAAAGGAAGGAAGGAAGAAAAGGAAGGAAGGAAAGAAGGAACUAUAUGUCCUUUUAAAGCUGGAAUAGUUUAAUCAGGAAAAUAAAGCAGUAUUGGAUUAUAACUCAAAGUGUAAAAUAAAU